rnacentral:rRNA from 1 species
GAUGAACGCCGGCGGCGUGCCUAACACAUGCAAGUCGAACGAAGCACUUUAGCUUGAUUCUUCGGAUGAAGGCUAUUGUGACUGAGUGGCGGACGGGUGAGUAACGCGUGGGUAACCUGCCUCACACAGGGGGAUAACAGUUAGAAAUGACUGCUAAUACCGCAUAAGACCACGGAGUCGCAUGACUCAGUGGGAAAAACUCUGGUGGUAUGAGAUGGACCCGCGUCUGAUUAGGAAGUUGGUGGGGUAACGGCCUACCAAGCCGACGAUCAGUAGCCGACCUGAGAGGGUGACCGGCCACAUUGGGACUGAGACACGGCCCAAACUCCUACGGGAGGCAGCAGUGGGGAAUAUUGCACAAUGGGGGAAACCCUGAUGCAGCGACGCCGCGUGAGCGAAGAAGUAUUUCGGUAUGUAAAGCUCUAUCAGCAGGGAAGAAAAUGACGGUACCUGACUAAGAAGCACCGGCUAAAUACGUGCCAGCCGCCGCUGUAA